AUGGAGGAACCAACGACGGGAACAACGGCGAUGAUGGUGCCAUGGUUGCUGCUUCUCUGCAUCACUGCUGCUGCCACCAGCGGGGCACUGCAAGCUCAUGCCCAGCUCGAGAGCAAUGGUUUUAUAAGCAUAGACUGCGGUCUUCCAGGGCAAACAGGCUACGUGGAUAAGACCACCACGCUAUCCUACACCACGGACGCCGGCUUCAUCGACACCGAUGCCGGCGUAAACCACAACAUCUCCGCUGAAUACAUUACUCCCUCGACGCCCACGAGCUUGCACAGUGUGCGCAGCUUCCCCAGCGGUGAGCGCAACUGCUACACUCUGGGCUCACUCGUGUCCGGGCUCAAGUACCUCCUCCGGGGCAAGUUCUUGUACGCCAACUACGAUGGCCUCAACAUGCUACCCAUGUUCGACCUCUACAUCGGGGUUAACUUCUGGACGACAGUGAAUAUCUCAGCCUCUGACGUAGAGGUCUAUGCGGAGGCCAUCAUGGUCGCGCCGGACGAUUUUGUGCAGGUUUGCUUGAUAAACACUGGCGGCGGGAUGCCGUUCAUCUCUGGGCUGGAUCUGAGGCCACUGAAGAACAAGCUCUACCCACUGGCCAACGAGACACAGGCCCUGGUCCUGCUACACAGGUUCAACUUUGGACCCACUGAUAGCCACACCAUUAUCAGGUACCCUGAUGAUCCGCACGACCGGAUAUGGUUCCCUUUUGUCGACGUGGAAAACUGGGUGGACAUAACAGCGGGGGAGAAGGUAAACAUUUUGGACGAGCUCUUCCAGCCGCCCCAAGAAGUGAUGCAGACGGCCAUCACGCCGCGGGACGUCUCGGAGAACAUAGAGUUCACCUUGGACCUCGAGAGUUUCCCCAGGGACCAUUCGCUGGGGUACGUCCAUACGGUGUACUUCUGUGAACUUCAAGAAUACCCCAGCAGUAAUGCACUACGGCAGUUCUACAUCUACCGGAAUGGCGUGCUAACGUACCUUCAAGUCUACACUCCGCCAUACCUUGCCGGCGAUUUUGUGAACUCACUUAAGCCCUUUCAAGCCAGCCAGUACAAGAUCUCCCUCAACGCCACUGCUAAAUCGACGCUGCCGCCCAUCAUAAAUGCCAUCGAGCUAUUCUCCGUCAUCUCAACCACCACCGUGGGCACCAACUCACAGGACGUAUUUGCCAUAAGAGCCGUCAAGAAGAUGUAUCAGGUGCAGAAGAAUUGGAUGGGUGACCCGUGCCUUCCCGAGACACUGAGCUGGGAUAACUUGACCUGCAGCUAUAACAGUUCCAGACCUCCAAUAAUUAGAAUAGUAAACAUGUCCUUCAAUGAUCUCCAAGGUGGUAUAUCUCCUGACUUCGCAGCUCUCAAGAACCUUCAAUCCAUAAAGUAUAUGUCAAUAUGUUGCAGGGAUCUGUCAAACAAUAACUUGACAGGAUCAAUUCCAGAAGCCCUUUCGCAAUUGGAGUCAUUAAAAUUUUUAGAUCUCCCUGGAAGAUGGCACUCAGGUAGCAGUAAAGCUGAGGUCUCAUUCUUCAAACCAGGGUGUCAGACAGUUCCUUGCAGAGGCUCAAGUUUUAUCACGUAUUCAUCACAAGAAUCUUGUGUCCAUGAUUGGUUACUGCAAGGAUGGGGAGCAAAUGGCACUUGUCUAUGA
rnacentral:rRNA from 1 species